rnacentral:lncRNA from 1 species
GCCAAGAGAGAUAGUUUUACCUCUUUCUUCUACUUUGAAGGCCUCUGUUUGUUUUCCCUAAUUGUUCUGCAAGGACUUCAGUACAAUGUCAGCUGGCAGCAGUGAGAGACCAAGCAUCCUCAGCUUUUCCUGGUGUCACGGGCUGCUUGUCUUUGAAAAGAAAGUGGCUGGGAGCCCAAGCCUGACACCAGCACCCACUCUUGUUCACAAUAGCCAAAAAGGAGAAACACCAAGUACGCAUCAAGGGAUGGGUAUGUAAACAAAAUGCAGCAAACUGUAUAGUGGAAUAUUACC